rnacentral:lncRNA from 1 species
CCUUCUUGUUGCCCAGGCUGGAGUGCAAUGGCACGAUCUCGGCUCACUGCAACCUCAGCCUCCCGAGUAGCUGGAAUUACAGGCAUGCAUCACCAUGCCUGGGUAAUUUUUUGUAUUUUUAGUAGAGAUGGCGGGUGCCUGUAAUCCCAGCUACUCGGGAGGCUGAGACUGGAGAAUCACUUGAACCCGUGAGAUGGUGGUUGCAGUGAGCCGAGAUUGCGCCACUGCACUCCAGACUGGGUGGCUGAGUGGGACUCUGUCUCACAAAAAAAGCUUUCAGCAUUCCACUAAUCCACUAGCAAACUCAAAUGUCUAUAGAUUGUCUCUAUUUCUUCAAUCAAAGUUCUAGAACAAAAUGCAUAGCUUUGAAAUAGGUGGUGCUCUGUCCCUCUCCCAGAGCAGCUGAUGUGAUGUUGCAUUUCUCUCUCUUCAUACACACUCACUCCCAUAUACGUUGGCCCUGCUUUUUCUUUCAGUAAUGUUGAACACUGCAGUUUCAUAAAUUUCUGAUAGUUUCCAUUUUAAAUUUAUUUUAUCUCCUCAUUCUGUGUUCCUAAACCAAACACUUAACUGAAUUGCCUACUUCAUAAUCUCUCCAACCACUCUUAACAAAUGCAAACCUGAAAUCAGAAUGUAAACCAGUUUAAAAUUUUUUUUAUUUUUAUUUUUUGAGACGGAGUCUCGCUGUGUCGCCCAGGCUGGAGUGCAGUGGCCGAUCUUGGCUCACUGCAAGCUCCCCCUCCCGGGUUCCUGCCAUUCUCCUGCCUCAGCCUCCUGAGUAGCUGGGAUUACAGGUGCCCAGCACCACGCCCAGCUAAUUUUUUGUAGAGAAGUAAUUUUAGUAGAGAAGGGGUUUCACCGUGUUAGCCAGGGUGGUCUCGAUCUCCUGACCUCAUGAUCCGCCUGACUCGGCCUCCCAAAGUGCUGGGAUUACAGGUGUGAGCCACCACGCCCGGUCAAACCAGUUUAAAAUUUUAUAAAAAUUUUUGUUCCAUGUCUUGUGAGACUUACACUAAAUAGGGGUUUCAAAAUAACAUGGCCUGCCAUAUGGUCAAGCCAGAUUUAAAAAUUGAGAAUAUCUAUUACCAAUCCACUAAUGCUAAAGCCAAAGUCACAGACAGUAAGAAUGUAAUCCAAUUUAGAGA